UUUAUUUUGUUAGAGUGUUUUUGAGUGUUUUUUGAUCUAAUAAAGACAUGAACACUUACCACGCUGUGCUUUGGUCUGAUCCUCAUUGCGAUGAGAGCCCUUACACAACUGUCGUGUAUGAUAUACCAUUUUCUAGGUCUGAGUCUGUAGUUCUGUCAAUGUAAAAAAAAUAUUUCAAAUUUUGCUACAUCAGGUCGGAAUCGAGCCGGUCGGUCACAUUUGCCUUUAUAAAACCUAGCAGUACUACUGAUUUCUCUGAGAGUGAGACAGAUAUAUAUUAUUACUGUGUAAGACGUAGCAGUACUACUUAUUUCUAUGAGUGAGGCAGAUAUAUAGCGAUUAGGAAAGAAACAUAUUUGUCACUCUGAAAUGAAAUAAUCAAGUGAAACAUUUUAAGCAAAUACAUGUCUGUUUUUGAACAAUCACAUUCCAUGAUUAGCUUGUGAAAAAACACACCAAUCUCUGUCAUAAUUUCUUGAAACAAUAAAAGCAGAUUUUACAAACAUUUCUGAAAAUAGAUAUAUAGCAUUUUGGAGUUAAACUCUUCUUAUAUUUCCUCAUCUGAGCUCAGAGUAGAUGAGAGAUGUAAUGUUUGUCUCUGUUGUGUUGAAGUCCAAUCCAGCAGGAGAGACCAGCCUCCCCUGUUCCCAGCUGUGUGUCCAUGAAGCGUAACCGGUCUAUUCGUCUACCUAUACUGUUUAGAGAGGGAGACUUUUCUACUGAAUAAAGGUUCACAGCCAGACAACCAUCAGGGUACGGCAGCCAUGGAAAACUCAAAGGACACUGGAUCUGGGAAAGAACCAAUAUCUGAAUCCAUAAAAAGGGGAAAACUGACACACACACAGGACUUUUGCUUUAGCUCCCACCUCUACUUCACUGUGUUAUAAUGGACCUUAUGCUUGUUAUGUCACCUCUGUAACCAGGUAUCAAACAUACUGACCUUUCUGACCCUGUCCCAUGGCCCUACUUUCUAGAACUGAACAUUUAAAUUCCUCUGAGCUUUGCUUACUGUCCAUUUACUCAUUUAUUGAUUUAUUUGUUGUAUAUUGGGGUUGUGCCGCAGAGCAUCAUGGGGGUUUGUAUGUGUUGAGAUGAUCCCGUUCCAGAUAAAUGGUUUAACUGA